rnacentral:rRNA from 1 species
UACAGAGGGGGCAAGCGUUUGUUCGGAAUUACUGGGCGUAAAGGGCGCGUAGGCGGCCCGCUAAGUCGAACGUGAAAUCCCUGGGCUCAACCCAGGAACUGCGUCCGAUACUGGCGGGCUUGAAUCCGGGAGAGGGAUGCGGAAUUCCAGGUGUAGCGGUGAAAUGCGUAGAUAUCUGGAGGAACACCGGUGGCGAAGGCGGCAUCCUGGACCGGCAUUGACGCUGAGGCGCGAAAGCUAGGGGAGCAAACGGG